rnacentral:sRNA from 1 species
CGCCUCCCUUGCCUUGGUUCCGCCCCCAGGUGGAGAUCCUGGAGGGCCGCACCGAGUGUGUGCUGAGCAACCUGCGGGGCCGGACGCGCUACACCUUCGCCGUCCGCGCGCGUAUGGCUGAGCCGAGCUUCGGCGGCUUCUGGAGCGCCUGGUCGGAGCCUGUGUCGCUGCUGACGCCUAGUGGUGAGGCCCCGGGGGGGGUGUAGGAGAAGCCGGGGCGAAUCACGGGGCAAGCCCACCGCCCUGACCUCCUCCCCGCCUCUUAGACCUGGACCCCCUCAUCCUGACGCUCUCCCUCAUCCUCGUGCUCAUCCUGGUGCUGCUGACCGUGCUCGCGCUGCUCUCCCACCGCCGGGCUCUGAAGCAGAAGAUCUGGCCUGGCAUCCCGAGCCCAGAGAGUGAGUUUGAAGGCCUCUUCACCACCCACAAGGGUAACUUCCAGGUAGGUGGCCUGGUUGUCCUCUCAGUGCCUGGGCUUCCCUGCUUCUUGCAGCCAAACUGCAGGCCUCUCUGAGCAGGUUGGUGCUAUUUCUUCAGCUGUGGCUGUACCAGAAUGAUGGCUGCCUGUGGUGGAGCCCCUGCACCCCCUUCACAGAGGACCCACCUGCUUCCCUGGAAGUCCUCUCAGAGCGCUGCUGGGGGACGAUGCAGGCAGUGGAGCCGGGGACAGAUGAUGAGGGCCCCCUGCUGGAGCCGGUGGGCAGUGAGCAUGCCCAGGAUACCUAUCUGGUGCUGGACAAGUGGUUGCUGCCCCGGAACCCGCCCAGUGAGGACCUCCCAGGGCCUGGUGGCAGUGUGGACAUAGUGGCCAUGGAUGAAGGCUCAGAAGCAUCCUCCUGCUCAUCUGCUUUGGCCUCGAAGCCCAGCCCAGAGGGAG